CAGGCCCUGAAUGAAGGCUCGUGGCAUUCCUGUAGCCAUUGGUUUCAAGCAGGAGCCAAGAAAAAAAAUCUCUCCAUGCUCUGUUGACUGUUUUGAAUUUUGAAAUGCGACAGCCACUUCAUUAAGGAGAGACAUCC